rnacentral:rRNA from 1 species
UACGGAGGGUGCAAGCGUUAAUCGGAAUUACUGGACGUAAAGCGCACGCAGGCGGUUUGUUAAGUCAGAUGUGAAAUCCCCGAGCUUAACUUGGGAACUGCAUUUGAAACUGGCAAGCUAGAGUCUUGUAGAGGGGGGUAGAAUUCCAGGUGUAGCGGUGAAAUGCGUAGAGAUCCGGAGGAACACCGACGGCGAAGGCAGCGCCCUGGACGAGAUCUGACGCUCAGGCACGAAAGCUGGGGGAGCAAACAGG